AUUGAACGCUGGCGGCAGGCUUAACACAUGCAAGUCGAGCGGGGUGAUGGUGCUUGCACUAUCACUUAGUGGCGGACGGGUGAGUAAUGCUUAGGAAUCUGCCUAUUAGUGGGGGACAACAUCUCGAAAGGGAUGCUAAUACCGCAUACGUCCUACGGGAGAAAGCAGGGGAUCACUUGUGACCUUGCGCUAAUAGAUGAGCCUAAGUCGGAUUAGCUAGUUGGUGGGGUAAAGGCCUACCAAGGCGACGAUCUGUAGCGGGUCUGAGAGGAUGAUCCGCCACACUGGGACUGAGACACGGCCCAGACUCCUACGGGAGGCAGCAGUGGGGAAUAUUGCACGAUGGGCGCAAGCCUGAUGCAGCCAUGCCGCGUGUGUGAAGAAGGCCUUCGGGUUGUAAAGCACUUUCAGCGGGGAGGAAGGCGGUACGGUUAAUAACCGUGCCGAUUGACGUUACCCGCAGAAGAAGCACCGGCUAACUCCGUGCCAGCAGCCGCCGUAA
rnacentral:rRNA from 1 species